UUUGCAGCUGUUGCCGUUGCAUGUGGAGGAAUGCAAUGGCACAUUGACUGAGAGUGAAUCUGGGACAUGUCUUGAUGAAGAUUGUUCAGUUCUUGAGCAGCCAGUCCCAUCUACAAUAGGCAUGGAUGAAUCCUUGGCGGUCUGCCCAAUCUGUCUUGCAUCAUACCCAGCUGAUUUUCUCCCAUCUCAUGCAAGCCCAUGUGGUGACAGAAUGAACUGUGCUCAACCCAGCGUAGCAGCCAGUCCCCCAAUGGGAGAAGAAUUGCCAGGACCCUCAGUUCC